rnacentral:rRNA from 1 species
CUGGAGGACCGAACCGGUUACCGUUGCAAAGGUAUCGGAUGACCUGUGAUUAGGGGUGAAAGGCCAACCAAACUCGGAAAUAGCUGGUUCUCCGCGAAAACUAUUUAGGUAGUGCGUCGUGUGAUUACCGUCGGGGGUAGAGCACUGGAUGGGCUAGGGGGAUCCAAAGUCUUACCAAACCUAACCAAACUCCGAAUACCGACGAGUACAGCGCGGCAGACAGACGGCGGGUGCUAAGGUCCGUCGUCGAGAGGGAAACAGCCCAGACCACCAGCUAAGGUCCCUAAGUCAUGGCUAAGUGGGAAAGGAUGUGGGAAGGCCAUAACAGCCAGGAGGUUGGCUUAGAAGCAGCCAUCCUUUAAAGAAAGCGUAAUAGCUCACUGGUCUAGAUAAGCCAGCCUGCGCCGAAGAUGUACCGGGGCUCAAGCCAUGCACCGAAGCUGUGGACUCGAAAGAGUGGUAGCGGAGCGUUCCGUAAGCCUGCGAAGGGAGACCCGUGAGGGCUCCUGGAGGUAUCGGAAGUGAGAAUGCUGACAUGAGUAGCGAUAAGAAGCGUGAGAGACGCUUCCGCCGUAAGUCCAAGGGUUCCUGCGCAAGGUCAAUCCGCGCAGGGUUAGCCGGCCCCUAAGGCGAGGGCGACAGCCGUAGCCGAUGGGAACCACGUCAAUAUUCGUGGGCCUGCUGGAAGUGACGGAUCCGAAAAGUGGCUCUAGCUCGUUGGCGAAUGCUAGGGCGGCCCAAGGGUUCCAGGAAAUAGCUCCAGCAUAUAGACCGUACCCUAAACCGACACAGGUGGACUGGUAGAGUAUACCAAGGCGCUUGAGGGAACGGUGUUGAAGGAACUAGGCAAUUUACCCCCGUAACUUCGGGAUAAGGGGGCCUCUGGCGGUCUCGCCAGAGGGGCACAGACUAGGGGGUGGCGACUGUUUAACAAAAACACAGGGCUCUGCUAAGCCGUGAGGCGAAGUAUAGGGUCUGACGCCUGCCCGGUGCCGGAAGGUUAAGAGGAGAGGUUCACGCCUUGAAUCGAAGCCCCGGUAAA